UCCCUGGUGGCUCAGAUGGUAAAGCAUCUGCCUACCAUGUGGGAGAGCCAGGUUCAAUCCCUGGGUUGGGAA
rnacentral:tRNA from 1 species